rnacentral:rRNA from 1 species
UACGUAGGGUGCAAGCGUUGUCCGGAUUUAUUGGGCGUAAAGAGCUCGUAGGCGGUUUGGCAAGUCGGGUGUGAAACCUCCAGGCUCAACCUGGAGUCGCCAUCCGAUACUGCUAUGACUUGAGUCUGGUAGGGGAUCACGGAAUUCCUGGUGUAGCGGUGAAAUGCAUAGAUAUCAGGAGGAACACCGGUGGCGAAGGCGGAUCUCUGGGCCAUUACUGACGCUGAGGAGCGAAAGCGUGGGGAGCGAACAGG